GACGAACGCUGUCGGCGUGCUUAACACAUGCAAGUCGAACGGAAAGGCCCUGCUUUUGUGGGGUGCUCGAGUGGCGAACGGGUGAGUAACACGUGAGUAACCUGCCCUUGACUUUGGGAUAACUUCAGGAAACUGGGGCUAAUACCGGAUAGGAGCUCCUGCUGCAUGGUGGGGGUUGGAAAGUUUCGGCGGUUGGGGAUGGACUCGCGGCUUAUCAGCUUGUUGGUGGGGUAGUGGCUUACCAAGGCUUUGACGGGUAGCCGGCCUGAGAGGGUGACCGGCCACAUUGGGACUGAGAUACGGCCCAGACUCCUACGGGAGGCAGCAGUGGGGAAUAUUGCACAAUGGGCGGAAGCCUGAUGCAGCAACGCCGCGUGCGGGAUGACGGCCUUCGGGUUGUAAACCGCUUUCGCCUGUGACGAAGCGUGAGUGACGGUAAUGGGUAAAGAAGCACCGGCUAACUACGUGCCAGCAGCCGCGGUGAUACGUAGGGUGCGAGCGUUGUCCGGAUUUAUUGGGCGUAAAGGGCUCGUAGGUGGUUGAUCGCGUCGGAAGUGUAAUCUUGGGGCUUAACCCUGAGCGUGCUUUCGAUACGGGUUGACUUGAGGAAGGUAGGGGAGAAUGGAAUUCCUGGUGGAGCGGUGGAAUGCGCAGAUAUCAGGAGGAACACCAGUGGCGAAGGCGGUUCUCUGGGCCUUUCCUGACGCUGAGGAGCGAAAGCGUGGGGAGCGAACAGGCUUAGAUACCCUGGUAGUCCACGCUGUAAACGGUGGGUACUAGGUGUGGGGUCCAUUCCACGGGUUCCGUGCCGUAGCUAACGCUUUAAGUACCCCGCCUGGGGAGUACGGCCGCAAGGCUAAAACUCAAAGGAAUUGACGGGGCCCCGCACAAGCGGCGGAGCAUGCGGAUUAAUUCGAUGCAACGCGUAGAACCUUACCUGGGUUUGACAUGGAUCGGGAGUGCUCAGAGAUGGGUGUGCCUCUUUUGGGGUCGGUUCACAGGUGGUGCAUGGCUGUCGUCAGCUCGUGUUGUGAGAUGUUGGGUUAAGUCCCGCAACGAGCGCAACCCUUGUUCACUGUUGCCAGCACGUUAUGGUGGGGACUCAGUGGAGACCGCCGGGGUCAACUCGGAGGAAGGUGGGGAUGACGUCAAGUCAUCAUGCCCCUUAUGUCCAGGGCUUCACGCAUGCUACAAUGGCUGGUACAGAGAGUGGCGAGCCUGUGAGGGUGAGCGAAUCUCGGAAAGCCGGUCUCAGUUCGGAUUGGGGUCUGCAACUCGACCUCAUGAAGUCGGAGUCGCUAGUAAUCGCAGAUCAGCAACGCUGCGGUGAAUACGUUCCCGGG
rnacentral:rRNA from 1 species